ensembl:misc_RNA 7SK 7SK RNA
GGAUGUGAAGGCGAUCUGGCUGUGACAUCUGUCACCCCAUUGAUCACCAGGGUUGAUUUGGCUGAUCUGGCUGGCUAGGCGGGUGUCCCCUUCCUCCCUCACUGUUCCAUGUGUGUCCCUCCCGAAGCUGCGGGCUCGAAGAGGACGACCAUCCCCACUAGAGGAGGACUGGUCUUCGGUCAAGGGUACACGAGUAGCUGCACUCCCCUGCUAGAAUCUCCAAACAAGCUCUCAAGGAAAUCACAAUGAGACCCCAGGUUGGGACCAUGAACUAUCUCAACUAUCACUCUUAAGCCAACUGCUUCUU